ACGGUGAGAGCGUACACAGGUGCUGCAUGGCUGUCGUCAGCUCGUGUCGUGAGAUGUUGGGUUAAGUCCCGCAACGAGCGCAACCCUGCAUUCAGUUGCCAUCGGUAAGGCCGGGCACUCUGGAUGGACUGCCGGCGACAAGCCGGAGGAAGUGGGGACGACGUCAAGUCAUCAUGGCCCUUAUGUCCAGGGCGACACACGUGCUACAAUGGCCGGCACAACGGGAAGCGAAGGGGCGACCCUGAGCGGAUCCCACAAAAGCCGGUCUCAGUUCGGAUUGCAGUCUGCAACUCGACUGCAUGAAGUUGGAAUCGCUAGUAAUCGUGGAUCAGCCAAGCCGCGGUGAAUACGUUCCCGGGCCUU
rnacentral:rRNA from 1 species